rnacentral:rRNA from 1 species
AUUGAACGCUGGCGGCAGGCUUAACACAUGCAAGUCGAGCGGAGAUGAGGUGCUUGCACCUUAUCUUAGCGGCGGACGGGUGAGUAAUGCUUAGGAAUCUGCCUAUUAGUGGGGGGCAACAUUCCGAAAGGAAUGCUAAUACCGCAUACGUCCUACGGGAGAAAGCAGGGGAUCUUCGGGCCUUGCGCUAAUAGAUGAGCCUAAGUCGGAUUAGCUAGUUGGUGGGGUAAAGGCCUACCAAGGCGACGAUCUGUAGCGGGUCUGAGAGGAUGAUCCGCCACACUGGGACUGAGACACGGCCCAGACUCCUACGGGAGUCAGCAGUGGGGAAUAUUGGACAAUGGGGGGAACCCUGAUCUAGCCAUGCCGCGUGUGUGAAGAAGGCCUUAUGGUUGUAAAGCACUUUAAGCGAGGAGGAGGCUACUGAGACUAAUACUCUUGGAUAGUGGACGUUACUCGCAGAAUAAGCACCGGCUAACUCUGUGCCAGCCGCCGCGGUAAUAC